rnacentral:rRNA from 1 species
GAGCGCCGUAGCAAUACGGAGCGGCAGACGGGAGAGUAACACGUGGGAACGUGCCCUUCAGUUCGGAACAACCUAGGGAAACUUGGGCUAAUACCGGAUACGUCCGUAAGGAGAAAGAUUUAUCGCUGAAGGAUCGGCCCGCGUCUGAUUAGCUUGUUGGUGAGGUAACGGCUCACCAAGGCGACGAUCAGUAGCUGGUCUGAGAGGAUGAUCAGCCUCACUGGGACUGAGACACGGCCCAGACUCCUACGGGAGGCAGCAGUGGGGAAUAUUGGACAAUGGGCGCAAGCCUCAUCCAGCCAUGCCGCGUGGGUGAUGAAGGCCCUAGGGUUGUAAAGCCCUUUCGGCGGGGAAGAUAAUGACGGUACCCGCAGAAGAAGCCCCGGCUAACUUCGUG